AUGGCUCAGAUUGAACGCUGGCGGCAGGCCUAACACAUGCAAGUCGAGCGGUAGCACAAGAGAGCUUGCUCUCUGGGUGACGAGCGGCGGACGGGUGAGUAAUGUCUGGGAAACUGCCUGAUGGCGGGGGAUAACUAGUGGAAACGGUAGCUAAUACCGCAUAACGUCGCAAGACCAAAGUGGGGGACCUUCGGGCCUCACGCCAUCAGAUGUGCCCAGGUGGGAUUAGCUGGUAGGUGGGGUAACGGCUCACCUAGGCGACGAUCCCUAGCUGGUCUGAGAGGAUGACCAGCCACACUGGAACUGAGACACGGUCCAGACUCCUACGGGAGGCAGCAGUGGGGAAUAUUGCACAAUGGGCGCAAGCCUGAUGCAGCCAUGCCGCGUGUGUGAAGAAGGCCUUCGGGUUGUAAAGCACUUUCAGCGAGGAGGAAGGGUAAUGUGUUAAUAAGACAUUGCA
rnacentral:rRNA from 1 species